GAAAUUUCACAGUAUGUGCUAUAUGGACAAUUACUUUGCCAAUUAUUACCUAGCAGUCAGCAAACUAGGUCCCCUGGCCAAAUCCAGUCCACAGAUGGCUUGUUUUUGUUUGGCUCUUGAGACAACAAUGUAAAAAUUUUUACGUUUUUAAAAGAUUAUAAAAAACUAACAUUAUCAUCUAUAUGCCAGUGAUCUCCACAUAUAUGCCUCCAGCCCAGACCUUUCCUCUAAAUUCCAAAUCUGAUCCACUAGUCAAAGUUUGACCCCCUUAUCAUACUUUGACAAAUAUUAUUCGAUAACUUUGUCUUUAACAACUCUUAACACAUUCAUUCCUGAGUGAGAAUGAGUUUGGAUUUUGAUAAUCAACUUCUUAAACAAGAUAAACUUCUUCAGCUUUGUACAGUAGGAACAGUUUCUACAUGUUGUAGCAUGCAUUGGUAUUUCGUUCCUUUUUAUGGAGAAAUAAUAUUCCAUUAUAUAAGUAUACCACAUUUUGUUUAUUUGUUAGUUGGUGGGUAUUCGAAUUGUUUCCACUUUUGUGUUUUCAAAAGGGGGAGGGAGAAUUGGACUACCCAUUUCCAACUUGGAGUGGAUUCUUGGCAGAGCUAAAAUCAGAGCUUAGUAUCCUCUAUCUUAGACUUCAAUUAAGGUGUUUCUCCGUCUCUCACAUUGCUAAUACACACAUACACACACACACAUACACAUACGCAAGGAACAUGUCAAAGGUCAAAGGCACACAGGAGGCAACUGAAAGAACGACUGAUGGCCACACCUAUAAUAAUUUGAACAGCAAAGGAAAUAGCCUAGUAAUGGAUUGCAAACCAAAAUAUAAAACAAAUAUAUAUUGGCCCAUAGUGAUCUAGAUAAAUGGUGGAAUAAACAAACACGUGGAGAAGAAGAGACAAAUCUUCUUUAAAGAAUUCCCUCCUCACUCAGAUACUCCCUCCUCCAGGAGGUGGAGCUUGAUUUCCUUGAGCGUGGGCUGGACUUAAUGACUCACUUCCAAAGAAUAGAGUAAGGAAAGGGAAAAAAAGUAACUUUAUGGAGAAACUUGGCAAUGCUACCUUAACCAAAUAGUCAAGAUUAACAUCACCAGUUACAUGUCAUUUUGAUAUUGUGUAUCCUUUGAUAUAACUUGAUGAGGAGGGCACUUCACACAUGUGAUGUUCUUCCCCAAGACCCAUAAUCCCAAUUUAAUAAUGAGAAAAUAUAAAUGCAAAUUGAAGGAUAUUCUACAAAAUAUCCCACCAGUAUUCUUCAAAACUGUUAAGGUUAUGAAAAAUAAGGAAAGACUGAGAAACUGAGAAGACUAAGGACACUCUGACUAAAUGCAUUGUGGCAUCCUGGGUAGGCAUCCUGGAAUAUUAAAAGGAUAUUAGUGGAAAAACUUAUUAAAUC
rnacentral:lncRNA from 1 species